AACGAACGCUGGCGGCAUGCCUAACACAUGCAAGUCGAACGAAGCCUUCGGGCUUAGUGGCGCACGGGUGCGUAACGCGUGGGAAUCUGCCCCUUGCUUCGGAAUAACAGAUAGAAAUGACUGCUAAUACCGGAUGAAGUCUUCGGACCAAAGAUUUAUCGGCAAGGGAUGAGCCCGCGUAGGAUUAGGUAGUUGGUGGGGUAAAGGCCUACCAAGCCGACGAUCCUUAGCUGGUCUGAGAGGAUGAUCAGCCACACUGGGACUGAGACACGGCCCAGACUCCUACGGGAGGCAGCAGUGGGGAAUAUUGGACAAUGGACGCAAGUCUGAUCCAGCAAUGCCGCGUGAGUGAUGAAGGCCUUAGGGUUGUAAAGCUCUUUUACCAGGGAUGAUAAUGACAGUACCUGGAGAAUAAGCUCCGGCUAACUCCGUG
rnacentral:rRNA from 1 species